CAGUCGCCGCGGGAAUACGUAGGUGGCAAGCGUUGUCCGGAACUAUUGGGCGUAAAGCGCGCGCAGGCGGAUCAGUCAGUCUGUCUUAAAAGUUCGGGGCUUAACCCCGUGAGGGGAUGGAAACUGCUGAUCUAGAGUAUCGGAGAGGAAAGUGGAAUUCCUAGUGUAGCGGUGAAAUGCGUAGAUAUUAGGAAGAACACCAGUGGCGAAGGCGACUUUCUGGACGAAAACUGGCGCUGAGGCACGAAAGCCAGGGGAGCGAACGGGAUUAGAGACCCCGGUAGUCCCUGUCUCUUAUACA
rnacentral:rRNA from 1 species